rnacentral:rRNA from 1 species
CACGUAGGGCGCGAGCGUUGUCCGGAAUCACUGGGCGUAAAGGGUGCGUAGGCGGGUUUUUAAGUCAGAGGUGAAAUCCUGGAGCUCAACUCCAGAACUGCCUUUGAUACUGAAAGUCUUGAGUAUGGGAGAGGUGAGUGGAACUGCGAGUGUAGAGGUGAAAUUCGUAGAUAUUCGCAAGAACACCAGUGGCGAAGGCGGCUCACUGGCCCAUUACUGACGCUGAGGCACGAAAGCGUGGGGAGCAACAGG